rnacentral:rRNA from 1 species
CUACGGGGGGCUGCAGUGGGGAAUAUUGGACAAUGGGCGCAAGCCUGAUCCAGCAAUGCCGCGUGAGUGAAGACGGCCUUAGGGUUGUAAAACUCUUUCGCUAGGGAAGAUAAUGACUGUACCUAGUAAAGAAGUCCCGGCUAACUCCGUGCCAGCAGCCGCGGUAAUACGGAGGGGACUAGCGUUGUUCGGAAUUACUGGGCGUAAAGAGUUCGUAGGCGGACUGACAAGUUAGAGGUGAAAUCCCAGGGCUCAACCCUGGAACUGCCUUUAAAACUGUCAGUCUAGAGACCGGAAGAGGUUAGGGGAAUACCGAGUGUAGAGGUGAAAUUCGUAGAUAUUAGGUGGAACACCAGUGGCGAAGGCGCCUAACUGGUCCGGUACUGACGCUGAGGAACGAAAGCGUGGGGAGUAAACAGGAUUAGAUACCCUUGUAGUC